rnacentral:rRNA from 1 species
CCUACGGGAGGCAGCAGUGGGGAAUUUUGGACAAUGGACGCAAGUCUGAUCCGGCCAUGCCGCGUGCGGGAAGAAGGCCUUCGGGUUGUAAACCGCUUUUGUCAGGGAAGAAAAGGUUCUGGUUAAUACCUGGGACUCAUGACGGUACCUGAAGAAUAAGCACCGGCUAACUACGUGCCAGCAGCCGCGGUAAUACGUAGGGUGCAAGCGUUAAUCGGAAUUACUGGGCGUAAAGCGUGCGCAGGCGGUUAUGCAAGACAGAGGUGAAAUCCCCGGGCUCAACCUGGGAACUGCCUUUGUGACUGCAUAGCUAGAGUACGGUAGAGGGGGAUGGAAUUCCGCGUGUAGCAGUGAAAUGCGUAGAUAUGCGGAGGAACACCGAUGGCGAAGGCAAUCCCCUGGACCUGUACUGACGCUCAUGCACGAAAGCGUGGGGAGCAAACAGGAUUAGAUACCCUGGUAGUCCACGCCCUAAACGAUGUCAACUGGUUGUUGGGAGGGUUUCUUCUCAGUAACGUAGCUAACGCGUGAAGUUGACCGCCUGGGGAGUACGGCCGCAAGGUUGAAACUCAAAGAUAGUACGCGNGAGAGACGCGACGACGACGACGAGGAGGAGG